UUUUAUCUCAGCAUAAGCAAAUUCAAUUUGCUUUAAUUCUCACUUUGAAGGAGAGAAUGUCAGGCUGCCUCCUGCUCUGUUUCACAGUGUGUGGCAUUGGUAAUGAGCUCUGACAGCACUCCUCCUGCCGCUAACUGUGUCACAUGAGCCGUCGGAAGGUGACUUGAGAUGUGAAGAAAUGAAGGUGCGGUGAAAUGUCCAGCUGUUAAGUGAAUUGGUAUGGUAUGGUGGCUAGUUCCAAAUGAAAUGGCUAAGCUUCACCCCUUUGA
rnacentral:lncRNA from 1 species